rnacentral:misc_RNA from 1 species
UUAAGUUCAGCGGGUAUCCCUACCUGAUCCGAGGUCAAACCAAAAGAGCCUUGCUGGACGCUACCCGGCCGAGCCCGCCACAGCGCUGAUUCUGCUGCGCUGGGAGCUAGCCGGAGAGCCGCCAAUAAUUUUAAGGCGAGUCCGCAUAUAAUAGCAAGACAGACGCCCAACACCAAGCAGUGCUUGAGGGUGUAAAUGAC